rnacentral:rRNA from 1 species
AGGGCUAUCGCGAGUGCCAUCCGCUGAGGAAGGCUUUUACCCAGUCUAGAACGCUGGGGGAAUAAGGAGAGGGCAAGUCUGGUGUCAGCCGCCGCGGUAAUACCAGCUCUCCGAGUGGUGUGGAUGUUUAUUGGGCCUAAAGCAUCCGUAGCUGGCUAGGUAAGUCCCUUGUUAAAUCCACCGAAUUAAUCGUUGGAUCGCGGGGGAUACUACUUGGCUAGGGGACGAGAGAGGCAGACGGUAUUUUCGGGGUAGGGGUGAAAUCCUAUAAUCCCGGGAAGACCACCAGUGGCGAAGGCUGUCUGCUAGAACGCGCCCGACGGUGAGGGAUGAAAGCUGGGGGAGCGAACCGGAUUAGAUACCCGGGUAGUCCCAGCUGUAAACGAUGCAGACUAGGUGUUUGGACGGCCACGUGCCGUUCUAGUGCCGCAGGGAAGCUGUUAAGUCUGCCGCCUGGGGAGUACGAUCGCAAGAUUGAAACUUAAAGGAAUUGGCGGGGGAGCAC